GACAAGAUGAUAGUGGAAAUACUCAAAAGUGGCACGUAGAAAUAGUCCUACUCAUUAUAUAUUCAAAUACGUAGAGGUAGCGGAGACCCUCAUUUGGUACUAAUUCAGAGACGCUAGAGAUACUUAGAGUAAACAUCGGUGCUUAACUUCCUAAUACAAAGAAUUUAUUGUAAUUAGGCAAAACACAAAACAUAGAAUAGGCCUAGGCCAAAACACCCCAGCCCAAAAUAGUCAGCCCAAGAGCAUCCAAAUGGAAUAGUCCAGCUCCAGAGCCCAUCAAGCAGGCCGGGUCCUAGCCCAUCACCCCUGACGACAUGUCGUUUGUCACAAGCCCAGCGCCUCCGCCCUUUGUCACGACCCUUACUGCCCCGAUCUACGCCGCCGUGACCACCCUCCACUUAGACCCAAACCGUCGCGCUCCAUGCCGUCACAGCGCACGCAGUGAAGACCCAAUCUCUAAUCUCACUGGUCCAACACCCCACCGUCGAUUCAGAACCAUGUCGCCGAUUUUGGUUAGCACAACCACGGGGAUAUUGCCAGAAGACCAGGCAGAAGCUGUCUGGACCUACCUCGAGCGCAACAAUCCAUGGAGCAACCUUGAAACAAAUCAGAUUGACUACCAGUCCGGCAGCAGAUCUCAAGAGCCUGCGAGGCUGGAGGCCAGCAUCGAUUGGAAUGCCGCCGGACGAGCUCGAGUCCUAUUUCUUCUCUUUAUUCCUAUUUUAUUCAGUUUAAUUCC
rnacentral:lncRNA from 1 species